ensembl:lncRNA
CCCUCACACCAGCUUGCCAGCGGGGAAGGAUUCGGCCUCUGCUUGCCCAAGUCACUACUCUUCUCACCCAGAGCACCACCAGUGGUUCUCACCUGGGAUGUGAUGCCUGAUGGGAGCGCAGCACAGCUGGAACUGCUUUAAACCUCAUUUUAAUUAACAGUAGCUGUCCCAUGUUCUUUUAAAUAUCCUGAAGGAGGCUCUUCUUUUAAAUAAAAGGUCCACAUUGGGUGAAGCCAGGAGUUUGCUUAGCUCAGCAUGCUCUACCCUACAAAACACCCUGCAAUUAACCAGCGCCUGUGUAGUGUAAAUCACAACACGAUUCUCGGCAUGAGAACAGAGACAAAGUCACCCCUCAGCCAGACAAGGACAGAGAUCUCAGGAGCACAGAGCCACGCACCUGUUUAUCCAUGAAUUUGGAAGCUUCAAAACUGGUGCCAUAGAAAAUGAGGACAGACAGCACUUCCACCCAAGAGCAGCCAGGAGCCCGGUGGUCAGUGGGCCGCCCUGCAGGGUAGCUAAAAGACAGAAGCCUUCUCUCCAUUAAUUGCACAACAUCUCCAGCUUUGCAAUGGCUUGUUUGAGGGGAAGGCACUGAGAUAUGUGUACAUGUGAGAACUGACUGGCAGGAGACAUGUCUGCUCGCUGCCUCCAAGCAUGGCAAAACCCUUCUCAGCAGCUCCGCGCCAACACAUUUGCAUGGCAUGGACAGGGACCCUGCAGGAGUGGGACCAGCACAGCGGCUCUCUCCCUCCAUCCCCCACCGGAUUUAGCAUCGUGAGCCACUGACGUUUACUGGCCCUGAGUUGAGAGGGUGGUAACAUCCUCAACCCAGCAGAGCUGAACUGAUGAAGGUCAUGAAUCAAAUGUUGGACAUGAGGACUUCGACACAGUCAUCCCCUGUCCCAAGAGCAUCAUCUGGCUUUAGAGUCAGGGAUUGCUGGCUGCUGGCACGCAGAUCUGGACCAUUACAUGGAGCAGGCACAAGCUGUAUGAAAGCAGAAAGGAUCGCACUGUCGGCAUCAGCAAUAGCUCAUGCUACGCCUGCAGAGACCCCAAAACAGAAGUGCAGCCCACUCUCACAUUUCCUGAUGAAAGCUGCUAUCAGAGCCCAGCCAAAUGCCCAAAAAAGCAGGAGAGCUCAACUGGCCAUGGAAAAAAUCAAGUGCAACAGGACUUUGUGCCUAAAUCUGAAGGCAUAAGAUGAUGCUUGGAAAACAAAUUACCUGAGCUUUCAUUGGGUUCUUAAUUCAGCUAGUUGUCCUCUCUGUUUGUCUCCUACUGCCUAAGAAGAGAUCUGUAUGACCGGGGCAUGAGUUCUACUGAACGCUCAUGAGAGACUGGAGAGUUCCUGGGGUCUACUGGGAUAAGAGGGAAGGGCUGGUGGCACCAGGGUGGGCAGCUGGUCUGCAUCUGAAGCCAGCUGUGGCCCUUGCUUUAUUUGCACUGGACAUCUGUUUCAGGUCCCUUCCCUGUUCUCUGGCUUCUCACAGGGCGCUUUAAAAAACCCAUUCCUUGUGCUGUGGACAGGGCUGACAUUGGGGAAAGACACUACUGUGACAGACUGCUUUGAACCAAUGUUUGUGACAAUUACUGUGGCUGCUGCUGGUGUUUCACACGCCCAUCACCACAAUACUCCCAUAGCUCUGAGUGGCCUUUGCAGAGCUCUCUUACUGAUCUACCAGAACUGCAACCUGGGCAGCAAUUAAGGAGAGCUUAUGAAAGGCAUCUGCCCUCUAAUUCAUUGUUUCACUUCUCGGUGUCCUUUUGAGGAAUAAACCUAAAUGUAGGUGCUAAAUAAUGCUCACUAUGAAGGAUUUAUUGCUAUUUUAAUUUUGUAAGUAACUUCCGAAAACUACAGCUCCCAAUAACAUGUGUAUAUUGGUCAGAUAUAUCUAAGAAAUGAAGUUUUAAUAACUCCAUUUUUCUUCCUGAAUUGCAUUUCUACUAGAUUUACAAAAUGUGUUCAUAUUUCACUCUCUCUCCACCAAUAUGGGUUUCUAAUGAUCUGCAUAGAAAUAGUAUCAUUUCUGGCUUAACUGUUAUAUGUAGAAGUUAAAUGUGAAGGGAAG